AGAGUUUGAUCAUGGCUCAGGAUGAACGCUGGCGGUCUGCUUAACACAUGCAAGUCGAACGGGUGUAGAAAUACAUUAGUGGCGGACGGGUGAGUAACGCGUGAGAAUCUGGCUUUAGGUUCGGGACAACCACUGGAAACGGUGGCUAAUACCGGAUGUGCCUUAAUGGUAAAAGGUUUACCGCCUGAAGAUGAGCUCGCGUCUGAUUAGCUAGUUGGUGUGGUAAGAGCGCACCAAGGCGACGAUGCGUAGCUGGUCUGAGAGGAUGAUCAGCCACACUGGGACUGAGACACGGCCCAGACUCCUACGGGAGGCAGCAGCCAGGAAUCUUGGGCAAUGGGCGAAAGCCUGACCCAGCAACACCGUGUGGGUGAUGAAGGCCUUAGGGUCGUAAAGCCCUGUUGAUAGGGACGAAGGGCGAAGGGUUAAUAGCCCCUAGCUUGACGGUACCUUUCGAGGAAGCCCCGGCUAACUACGUGCCAGCAGCCGCGGUAAUACGUAGGGGGCGAGCGUUGUCCGGAAUUAUUGGGCGUAAAGAGCGUGUAGGCGGUUCGGUAAGUCUGCUGUGAAAUCCUGGGGCUCAACCCUGGGCGUGCAGCGGAUACUGCCGGGCUAGAGGGUGGUAGAGGCGAGUGGAAUUCCGAGUGUAGCGGUGAAAUGCGCAGAUAUUCGGAGGAACACCAGUAGCGAAGGCGGCUCGCUGGGCCACACCUGACGCUGAGACGCGAAAGCGUGGGGAGCGAACAGGAUUAGAUACCCCCGUAGUCC
rnacentral:rRNA from 1 species